UGUGUACUCCCUCCGUUCCAAAAUACUUGACUUCCAUUUGUCCAAAAAUGGAUGUACCUAUANCAAAAUACUUGACUUCCAUUUGUCCAAAAAUGGAUGUACCUAUAUACUAAAACAUGUCUAGAUACAUAUAUAUUUUGACAAAUAGAAGGCAUGUAUUGUGCAACGGAGGGAGUAGAAU
rnacentral:pre_miRNA from 1 species